ACUGCCACUUUUUAAAAAAAAAUUCUGGAACUCUCCCUUCUUUUCUCUGCUAGGGUUUUGAACCCUAGCCUUUGCACCGCUGUUAUGCCUCCAUCGUGGCCCACAGCGUGCGGUGGUCGUGGUCGCGCAAAGAGGGGAUUUUAGCCCUCAUUUGGAACGCGUCUAGAGGUCGAACCUUCUCAACCCAAAAGCCGAAAGAAAGGUCCUUGGCUUCCCUUUAAGCCCGAGUUUGACGCCAGGAGAGAAGUUCCCGACGACGACAUCGCAGGGUCGUUCAGGUCUAGACGGAAGUAAUAGGACGGGGUUGGCGCAAAGACGAGUAGAGGUGGUCAGGCCUCGGGGCCAGGCGUGGGCGAUAUGCUCGAGGCAAAUGGGUGAGCGGAAGGUGGAGGCUGCUGGUCAAGGGCAAGGGUUCUGUUCAGUUUAAAAUUUUGGGUCAGUUAGGCCUUUAGGGUUUUCUAAUUAUUGGGUUAUUUUGGGUUUUGGUUUAGGUUAGGGAUUUGGGCUUGUUGAGUCUGGGCCGGGCAAAUUUGGGCCUGUACAACGUAUAUGGAAAACUAUUCUUUUAUAGGUGUGUAGCAUGAUUGUAGAGAAUUGAUAAUACUUUAGUAAAAUUUUAGAAUAAUCCUCCAUAA